rnacentral:rRNA from 1 species
GAUGAACGCUGGCGGCGUGCCUAAUACAUGCAAGUCGAGCGAACAGACGAGGAGCUUGCUCCUCUGACGUUAGCGGCGGACGGGUGAGUAACACGUGGAUAACCUACCUAUAAGACUGGGAUAACUUCGGGAAACCGGAGCUAAUACCGGAUAACAUGUUGCACCGCAUGGUUCAACAGUGAAAGACGGUUUUGCUGUCACUUAUAGAUGGAUCCGCGUCGCAUUAGCUAGUUGGUAAGGUAACGGCUUACCAAGGCAACGAUGCGUAGCCGACCUGAGAGGGUGAUCGGCCACACUGGAACUGAGACACGGUCCAGACGCCUACGGGAGGCAGCAGUAGGGAAUCUUCCGCAAUGGGCGAAAGCCUGACGGAGCAACGCCGCGUGAGUGAAGAAGGUCUUCGGAUCGUAAAACUCUGUUAUUAGGGAAGAACAAAUGUGUAAGUAACUAUGCACGUCUUGACGGUACCUAAUCAGAAAGCCACGGCUAACUACGUG